rnacentral:rRNA from 1 species
CGAAUUGGGCCCGACGUCGCAUGCUCCCGGCCGCCAUGGCCGCGGGAUUAGAGUUUGAUCAUGGCUCAGGAUGAACGCUGGCGGUAUGCUUAACACAUGCAAGUCGUACGAAGUGCGAUGGGGUUUACUCUAUCGUAUGGCAGUGGCGGACGGGUGCGUAACGCGUAAGAACUUACCUUUUGGCGAGGGACAACCGCGGGAAACUGCGGCUAAUACCUCAUAGAGCUGAGGAGCGAAAGGUGAAAACCACCAAAAGAGAGGCUUGCGUCUGAUUAGCUAGUUGGUGAGGGUAAUGGCCUCCCAAGGCGACGAUCAGUAGCUGGUCUGAGAGGAUGAUCAGCCACACUGGAACUGAGACACGGUCCAGACUCCUACGGGAGGCAGCAGUGAGGAAUUUUCCGCAAUGGGCGCAAGCCUGACGGAGCAAUACCGCGUGGAGGAGGAAGGCCCGUGGGUCGUAAACUCCUUUCUCAGAGNGAACACAAUGACGGUAUCUGAGGAA